GACGAACGCUGGCGGCGUGCUUAACACAUGCAAGUCGAACGGAAAGGCCCUGCUUUUGUGGGGUGCUCGAGUGGCGAACGGGUGAGUAACACGUGAGUAACCUGCCCUUGACUUUGGGAUAACUUCAGGAAACUGGGGCUAAUACCGGAUAGGAGCUCCUGCUGCAUGGUGGGGGUUGGAAAGUUUCGGCGGUUGGGGAUGGACUCGCGGCUUAUCAGCUUGUUGGUGGGGUAGUGGCUUACCAAGGCUUUGACGGGUAGCCGGCCUGAGAGGGUGACCGGCCACAUUGGGACUGAGAGACGGCCCAGACUCCUACGGGGGGCAGCGGUGGGAAGUAUUGCACAAUGGGCGGAAGCCUGAUGCAGCAACGCCGCGUGCGGGAUGACGGCCUUCGGGUUGUGAACCGCUUUCGCCUGUGACGAAGCGUGAGUGACGGUAAUGGGUAAAGAAGCACCGGCUAACUACGUG
rnacentral:rRNA from 1 species